rnacentral:misc_RNA from 1 species
UCCGACUUUCAUCGGCUGUCUCUCUAGAGUGCCCAGCUUUACCUGCUGGCAACUAAAAAUAAGGGUUGCGCUCGUUGCGGGACUGAACCCAACAUCUCACGACACGAGCUGACGACAACCAUGCACCACCUGUCUCCUAUGUCCUCGAAAGGUCUUCCAUAUCUCUAUGGCCUUCAUAGGGAUGUCAAGGCCUGGUAAGGUUCUUCGCGUUGCGUCGAAUUAAACCACAUGCUCCACCGCUUGUGCGGGCCCCCGUCAAUUCCUUUGAGUUUCAGCCUUGCGGCCGUACUCCCCAGGCGGAGUGCUUAAUGGGUUUCCUUCGGCACUGGGGGUCGUUGACCUCCAACACCUAGCACUCAUCGUUUACGGCGUGGACUAC